rnacentral:rRNA from 1 species
UGCAGAAUCCCGUGAACCAUCGAGUCUUUGAACGCAAGUUGCGCCCCAAGCCUUCUGGCCGAGGGCACGCCUGCCUGGGCGUCACGC